GAACGCUGGCGGCGUGCCUAAUACAUGCAAGUCGAACGCUUCUUUUUCCACCGGAGCUUGCUCCACCGGAAAAAGAGGAGUGGCGAACGGGUGAGUAACACGUGGGUAACCUGCCCAUCAGAAGGGGAUAACACUUGGAAACAGGUGCUAAUACCGUAUAACAAUCGAAACCGCAUGGUUUUGAUUUGAAAGGCGCUUUCGGGUGUCGCUGAUGGAUGGACCCGCGGUGCAUUAGCUAGUUGGUGAGGUAACGGCUCACCAAGGCGACGAUGCAUAGCCGACCUGAGAGGGUGAUCGGCCACAUUGGGACUGAGACACGGCCCAAACUCCUACGGGAGGCAGCAGUAGGGAAUCUUCGGCAAUGGACGAAAGUCUGACCGAGCAACGCCGCGUGAGUGAAGAAGGUUUUCGGAUCGUAAAACUCUGUUGUUAGAGAAGAACAAGGAUGAGAGUAACUGUUCAUCCCUUGACGGUAUCUAACCAGAAAGCCACGGCUAACUACGUGCCAGCAGCCGCGGUAAUACGUAGGUGGCAAGCGUUGUCCGGAUUUAUUGGGCGUAAAGCGAGCGCAGGCGGUUUCUUAAGUCUGAUGUGAAAGCCCCCGGCUCAACCGGGGAGGGUCAUUGGAAACUGGGAGACUUGAGUGCAGAAGAGGAGAGUGGAAUUCCAUGUGUAGCGGUGAAAUGCGUAGAUAUAUGGAGGAACACCAGUGGCGAAGGCGGCUCUCUGGUCUGUAACUGACGCUGAGGCUCGAAAGCGUGGGGAGCAAACAGGAUUAGAUACCCUGGUAGUCCACGCCGUAAACGAUGAGUGCUAAGUGUUGGAGGGUUUCCGCCCUUCAGUGCUGCAGCUAACGCAUUAAGCACUCCGCCUGGGGAGUACGACCGCAAGGUUGAAACUCAAAGGAAUUGACGGGGGCCCGCACAAGCGGUGGAGCAUGUGGUUUAAUUCGAAGCAACGCGAAGAACCUUACCAGGUCUUGACAUCCUUUGACCACUCUAGAGAUAGAGCUUCCCCUUCGGGGGCAAAGUGACAGGUGGUGCAUGGUUGUCGUCAGCUCGUGUCGUGAGAUGUUGGG
rnacentral:rRNA from 1 species